ACUAAAAAAUUAAAUCAAAAUCAAAAUCAAAUUUGUGAUUUUUAGAAACAAAACCUCAAAACAGUGAUAUUGAACAUACCCCUUAUUAACCGUUACUAAAAAAUAAUUCUCAAAUUUGAGUACCCGAAAAGAAAAGACCGUUACAAAAAAAAAAAAAAAAAGAAAGAAAAAAAAGAAAAGAGACAGCUGUAAACCUUCAUUGCUCCAACUCACUGCCUAGUGUCUACCGCGUAAAAUUAACCGCCAUAAAAUAAAACACUCCUCGUCGCCGUCAUCGGUGAUAAUUCCGACCCAUCCGUCUUUCUCUUUUCUCUCCAAAAUUCCAAAUCCCCCCUGCAUAAAACUAACAAUCCGAUCAAAACCCUAACCCUAAACUUAAGAUGAUGUUUAUGCUUUUGUCUGUUCGUCUUAAUUCUCCCCCCGAUUUCAUGAAACUUCGAUCAAAAUCUUCACGUUGCGGAGUAAUUUUGUCUUUCAAACGUCAAUUAGUCCUCGAAACAGUGUCAAUUAGUAUUUGAGACGGGAAUUCUAGGGUUUCAGAGGUGAUUCCGGUAUUCACUUGUUUCAGGCAACGAAACAGUGCCGGUUAAUCUCUGAGACAGUAAUGCUAGGGUUUCAUCGGAAUUGAUCCGGCACAUUACCCUCUGUAUGGCUUCGAAGUAGAAGAAGUAUACACCAAAGUUCAGUCUUCCCACGGUGUAAGCAUUUACUGAGCUUGUUAAGGGACAAUGGAUGCAAAGAGGUUAAACAUUGCUUCUUUUUCGCAAUCCUGUGUCAUUACUCUCUGCUGCUCAUUAAAAGAGGUCCUCUAAGCGUCAAGGAACUGAUUUAGCAGAUAGCUCAAGAAUCCCUUUUUCCACCAGAUGGCUGAGCAAUUGCAGCAAACCCUUCAGGACAUCUGCUGUUGUGGAACCACAAUUUGAUCCUCAGCAGUAAUCUUCCACUAUGCUGCAAGCCAACACGUGAUAAAGAAUCCUUAGUUUAUGAACGUCUUAGUAGUGCUUCGAGGCAGGGGUAAGGUUGCUUCGUUCGACCCCCCCUUACCCCGCUUCUUGCGGGAGCCUCUUUGAGGCAAUGGGGUAAUGAUAAUGAUAAUGAUUGACAACAUAGUGUGGUAGGCUGAAAGAAAGUUCUAGUGAACAGCGUUAUUUUCUGCAUAUAUUGCAACAAUAUUUCGCAGCACAUCUAAUGGCAUGCUUACCUUCAGGAUUCACUUGGUGGAAACAGCAGGACCGUUAUGAUUGGUAAUUAAUUUUUUCUCCAAAUUAAUCUUGAUUAUGAGAAAUUUUGUUAUCUUGUCUUGUUAAAUUCUCUGCAUUUAUUUCUCUAUGCUAUGCUGUGCUGAUUUUCUGAACUGAAAGCUUAUGCUUGAUUUUUGUUGUAUAAUAUCUUAUUCGUACUAGUUAACAUCAACUCUUCAACUUGAGUUUCACCAUAUAGAUUUUCAUGUGGCCUUUCAUACCUUAGCUUUUUGUGGUUGUAAAGUUUUGGUACCCCCUGAAAGUUAGCACAUGGAUCUUAGGAAUUUGGCAGUUGUUUGGAGGUUAUUUGGUUAUUUGUCAGUUAGAGGAUUGUGUUUCUUUCGCAGGUUGGAUACUUAGCCCAUUGUUGUUAUGCAACUUUCUUUUGAGGGAAGUUUGCUGUGACGUAUUUCACUAGUGACUUAUUUUCCAUUGCAAGCUGUUCAGUUUUCAGGUGCUACUUUUAUGCCGUAUUUACUUGUUGGCAUUCAUGAAUCACGACUUGUUAUCCCUGUGCCACUUGUCAUCAACCACUUAUAGAACUGUUGGUUUUUCUAACUUCCUACAGAAAUCAUCAUUAGGUAACUUGUAGGACGUAUUAGUUGAUUCAGAAGAUACUCCCUGAUGUACAGCAUCCACAUGAAAAUUAUGAGAACUCGUUAAACCUUUUAUUUUUUAGCUUUUCCUUGUCCCCAUUCUGUUGUUUAAAACUUCAAAUGUAUUCUUCUAAGCCCAAUUCCAGUGCCAUUUAUGUCAGAUAUCAGUUUUCCAGUUUGCAUCAAUGCUGAAGAAACGCUUAACACUGAAGUAUGCAAAUCGUGCCUGCAAUAUUCAAAAUAUGCCAGUGGUAAGAAUGAUGUACCCCUUGUACAGGAGUACACGAUUUCCUUUUCUUUAUUUUCUCCCGCUCUUUUCAUAUUAUAUGUACUUUUAGUUUUAUGGUCCAAUAGGAGUACACCUUAUGUCAAAGUUUUACAUAUUGUUUGGAAUAGAUAAAUAGAGAUCCAAUAUCCAAUGAGAUGAUUAAAAUGCGACAGCAGCUUGAGUAUUUACAAGCAGAACUUCGUGCACGAGGCGGGCGAACAUCUUCAGAUGAUGUACAAGUAUUGUAAUUGUGAAGUUCUUUAGGUUUCCUCUGCUUGGUUGCAAGCAUGAUUCUUGUCUAUUAAAUUACGGAGUACAUUAUACGACAUAAACUUGUAGGCCAUGAGGGCAAUACAAUAGUGGAUUUAAUGUUAGUGAUCAGGGUGAUACUUUGGGUCAGGUAGGUCAUCAGAUGUCAAUUUAGUUGUCUAAAUUCUGAUUUUUUUCCCAUAACAUUGGUCCUUGUGCAUGGAAUUCGUUUAUACAUCGAUUUCUAGCAAUAUAAUGUAUUUGUUUCCAAAA